CGUACACUCCUACGGGAGGCAGCAGUGGGGAAUAUUGGACAAUGGGCGCAAGCCUGAUCCAGCCAUGCCGCGUGAGUGAUGAAGGCCCUAGGGUUGUAAAGCUCUUUCACCGGUGAAGAUAAUGACGGUAACCGGAGAAGAAGCCCCGGCUAACUUCGUGCCAGCAGCCGCGGUAAUACGAAGGGGGCUAGCGUUGUUCGGAUUUACUGGGCGUAAAGCGCACGUAGGCGGACUAUUAAGUCAGGGGUGAAAUCCCGGGGCUCAACCCCGGAACUGCCUUUGAUACUGGUAGUCUUGAGUUCGAGAGAGGUGAGUGGAAUUCCGAGUGUAGAGGUGAAAUUCGUAGAUAUUCGGAGGAACACCAGUGGCGAAGGCGGCUCACUGGCUCGAUACUGACGCUGAGGUGCGAAAGCGUGGGGAGCAAACAGGAUUAGAUACCCUAGUAGUCCCAUGA
rnacentral:rRNA from 1 species